CCUACGGGAGGCAGCAGUCGGGAAUUUUGGACAAUGGGCGAAAGCCUGAUCCAGCAAUGCCGCGUGCAGGAUGAAGGCCCUCGGGUUGUAAACUGCUUUUGUACGGAACGAAAAGCCUGGGGCUAAUAUCCCCGGGUCAUGACGGUACCGUAAGAAUAAGCACCGGCUAACUACGUGCCAGCAGCCGCGGUAAU
rnacentral:rRNA from 1 species